GCGGGGGCUGUGGCUCCGGGACUGCGGAGAACAUAUUGUGAUGUUGGUGCCUCAGAGCUAAAACUAUGAGUGAAUUUCGGAUUCACCAUGAUGUCAAUGAACUGCUUAGCCUGCUGCGUGUCCACGGAGGAGAUGGGGCUGAGGUCUACAUUGACCUGCUUCAAAAGAACAGGACCCCGUACGUCACUACCACUGUCUCUGCUCACAGUGCCAAGGUGAGCACUGCCCUUGGUGUAGCGCUGUGCAGGGUGAGCACUGUUCCUGGGUCAGGGUGGUGCAGGGUGAGCCCACCCCUGGGUCAGGGUGCAGGGUGAGCGCCGUUCCUGGGUCAGGGUGGUACAGGGUGAGCACCAUUCCUGGGUGAGGGUGCAGGGUGAGCCCACCCCUGGGUCAGGGUGCAGGAUGAACACUGUUCCUGGAUCAGGAUGGUGCAGGGUGAACCCACCCCUCGGUCCAUGUGCAGGAUGAGCGUCGUCCCUGGGUCAGGGAGCAGGGUGAGCGCCACCUCUGGUGCAGGGAGCAGGGUGAGCGCCACCUCUGGUGCAGGGUGCAGGGUGAGCGCCACCUCUGGUGCAGGGUGCAGGGUGAGCGCCACCUCUGGUGCAGGGUGCAGGGUGAGCGCCACCUCUGGUGCAGGGUGCAGGGUGAGCGCCACCCCGGGGUCAGGAUGGUGCAGGGUGAGCGCUGCCCCUGGUGCAGGGCUGUGUGCCGUGCAAGAUGCAGGGUGAGUGCCCGUUCCUGGGUGGCCUCAAUGGUACCGGCAACGAUGGCAGACAGCACUUAGUCUGUGUGUGUGUUCAGCUCUGAUUCUCCUGACUCCCCGCAGCAGCUCCUGUGAUUCACCCCACUAUGCAGAUGAGUAAAUGGAGGCCUAUGGAGAAAGCUGGGCCUAGAACCCUCCCUCUUCCCCACUCUGUCCCCUGCAGCCAUGAGGCGGGAGAGUCCUGACAUGUGCAUUCCUGUGGAUAAAAAGGGAGGGACUGGGCCAGGCGCGGUGGCUCACGCCUAUAAUCCCAGCACUUUGGGAGGCUGAGGCAGGUGGAUCACAAGGUCAGGAGAUCAAGACCACCCUGGCUAACACGGUGAAACCCCGUCUCUACUAAAAAUACAAAAAAUUAGCUGGGUAUGGUGGCAGGCACCUGUAAUCCCAGCUACUCGGGAGGCUGAGGCAGGAGAGUGGCGUGAACCCAGGAGGUGGAGCUUGCAGUGAGCCGAGAUAUCGUGCCACUGCAUUCCAGCCUGGGCGGCAGAGUGAGACUCUGUCUCAAAAAAAAAAAAAAAAAAAAAAAAAA
rnacentral:sRNA from 1 species